GCUGGGCGUGGUGGCUCACACCUGUAAUCCAGCCUCUCAGGAGGCCGAGGCAGGAGGAUCUUGAGUUCAAAGCCAGCCUCAGCAAAAGUGAGGUGCUAAGCAACUCAGUGAGACCCUGUCUCUA
rnacentral:sRNA from 1 species